UGCUGAAGGCUUAUGUUAUGAUGACAAAAGAGUUUUAGGAUCCCUUUGGCCAUUGUGGUGCAAUCUGUCACUAGAUCCACAUAAAAGGUAAUUAUUAGUUCAGCUAUAAGGCAUCUAAUCUUGCUUGCUGGUUUCUCAUGUUAUAUGACAUCUACUAGGUUGUGAAAGGCUGGAAGUACACAAAAAUGAUAUGCAGUUACAAGUUGUUUCCAGUCAAUGCCUUCGGAACAGUUACCAAUGAUUUGCUGUUGUUCAACUCAGUCCCUCAUUAUUGUCAGACCGACACUCUGGUCUAGAAACCCAACUAAUGCAAGUGACGCGGUGAACUGUUCUUCCAUAGACAAAUUGAUCUGCAAGUCAGAAAGGGAUGGUAAUGAUACUAAUGAAGUAUGGAAUUAAUCACUGAAGUUGUUGGGGCUUUGAUUAAUUGCUGGACAAAUUAUACUACUGAAUUCAAGUAAAAAGAAAACUAUACCACUGAAAUUACACCAAGCAUCUGGUGAGUGAUCGCAUCAAUUUAUCAAUUCUUUUCAUGUGUUUCUACAAUCUCUGACAAAAGCUACAUACAUCUCUGCAUCUUAUUCAUGGAUCAGCAUUUCUUCAUUCCAUCUUCUGGAAUUUGGCGCAGGAUGCCAGUAUUUUUCACUUGCCAGUUUGUCAUUCUUACAGAUCUUGCGUUGACUCCACUUACAGUCAGUGUGCCAUUUUAUUUUAACCACAUGUCUGUGUAGAAGACCGUGAAGCUUGCAGCUUGCAGGGGCUUGCAGUAUUAACCAAAUUAACAUGGCACAUGGGCCGUAAUUUCUCGAUGCACAUGAGAGUUGUCGGCGUCAUUUCUGUCAAUGGAAGAUGGCACCGGCGGUGCUUCCGGUGCCAAGCUUGGCAUGUGUACGUACCGUAUGCUCAGAGGUAAAGGAAACUGCGUCUUAGCUUCCCUUUGUUUAAUACGGCUCUUCUCGGAAUUUAUUCCUUGGGUUUUAUGAUAUGCUUGAUAGGGGAAAAAUUACUUUCAAACAAUAUUGGAUAUGAGCAUGAUUUGCCAAGGGAUUUAACGAGUGAAGGGCGAGGUCGGUUAUGUCUGGUACCCGAGAGUUUUCACUCCCUCUGUUAUUUUUUUAUUUAUCGUUUAAUUUGCAGAUCGACAAAUCGUUUAAUUCACGUGUUUGAUCAGUAUAUUUUUACGUGAUAAAAAAGACAUUUUAAACACAGAAUUACUAAACUGCUUUUUGAGGUCUGUCUUCCACUCUUCAUACAUGAUGACUACGUAUUGUGAGUCAGAAAUAUCUUUUGGUUUUCGGUCGAAGCCCAGGGCGGUCCAUCGAAAAAAGCUGGGCCAUGGUCUUGAUUCUUUUUUGGGCUGUUCUGCUCCUGCACGAUUUGAGUCUUGGCCAACACAGGCUACGGCCAUUUUAGGUCUCUCAAUUAAGGCUACAUCCAUAGUCCAUUUUAGGAGGUUUUUACCUGUAUGCCAUUAAGAAAGAUGGUGCUUGUCUCUGUGCCACUAAAAAGUUCGAGCCUCCCUCUAUGCCAUCGUUGAACUUUACUGCGCUCUCCACACCAUUCCGUCACUAUUUUGUUAAGGUUCACCUAUUUGGCAGCUCUGACAUGUGGGGGCUCGCGUGUGGGAGGGUAACCAAGGACAGCCUACCAAACCCUCUCUACCUCAUCCACCACCACGUCCAAUCCUUCGGUCCUUCCACCCUAUCCGUGAGGACAAGCUCGGCCGCCGCGUCCCCGCCAUCAACGCGGUACCGGCGACGGAGGAGCCAGCCGACAACGCAGCGAUGCUCCAUCCGUUGUAGCAUCCUCUCACCAAGCUCACGCCGCCGUGGCGCCCAGAAGCUGCUACCAGCGCUAACUUUCCCCACCACCAUGGCGGUCACCGCGCAUGCUCCGCUCCGUGUGGCGGGCUCGCCCGUCGCCGCUGGCGCUCUGCUCCGCCGCCACUGCUCUGCUCGCCGAGGCCACCCUCUCUCUCGCAAUGGCGGCAGCAUCAUCAAUGUCAUGGCUUCCUAUUCGACUAUGCGCCAACCGCCACAGUGCCUGCCUCUACUUCCAUGCCCACCGCUGUGGCGCCAUCUGCUCCCGGCUCGCCAUUGCCACGUCACCCCUUCUCCAGUUUCGCCGCGCCACCGCACCGCCCGUCGCCGCCCGCUCUUUCCCACCUCACCCCACCAACCCUAUGAGGAGAAUAAUGAGAAAGAUAGAGAGGAGGAAGGGAGAGAAGAGGGGAAAUAGAUGACGACGAUGUGGUGACCCUGAUGUGUGGGGCCCAUGUUGAGUCAGCUGCCACGUCGGAUAAAACCGGAGUCAAAACCGUCGAGGGACCUAGUUUUUACUGGUUUUGUAAGUUGGAGGAUGUGUUGUAUCCGGUGUUGCGGUUGGGGGACGAUUUUGUAACUCGAUGAUAAGUUGAGGGAGCUUCGGUGUACUUAUCCACAAAAAAAAAAAACCAGGCGUGAACUGGGCCUGCAGCAGCUUGGGCUCGAUGCCCAGGCUGCGGACGAUGGGAAAAAAACCAGGCGUGAAGAGAGAAGCCCAACCCGUGGCUUAUGGGACGAUGGGAAACUGGAGCCCUCGAUCUCUCCCCCUCACCUUGUCGCUUCCUCCUCCCCCGACGCCGCCGCUUCCCCAAUUCCGGCUCCGGCGGCGAGCAGCAGGCUGCGGACGCGCCGUCGAAGCUCCAGGAGGAUGUGGAUCUCCGGUGUAGUCUCCGUGGCAUGCCUACAUCGGCGGCGCGAAUAUUCAGCACCGGCUUAGAUCGAUGGCGCCCCUCGCCGCCGGGCUUCCGUGGAGAGCAGGUAUGCUUCCGCCUCUACUCCUAGGUCGGUCUGCGCCGCUGUUCUUUGGCUCCGACUGAAUCCAUCCAACAAUUAGUUUUGUACCAUAUCGCCGAUUCUGAGACAACACGACCUGUUUAUUAGCUCGAUUUGAUUCCAUUCCAUCGCCACCCCAGAGGCACCCACCCCGACUGCAAUGGGCAGCGGUAGGGCGUGUAUCCGCACUACCGUUUCAGCUGCAAAAAAAAAAAAAAAGCAGUGAAAAGAUCCCCUACUGGGGCACGGCAGGCGACCCCCUGCCAAAAAGAUGCCCUAUAGAGGCACACAGUCGGGUCUCUCGGUGGAGGCAGCGCUAGACACUAGCGCUUGGCUUUUUGAAAUUUGUAACAUUAGAUUUUUUUCCCCUGUUGAACUCAUAGCUACUCAUGGGAUAAUUGAACCAAUUGCAAAAAUAGUUCGAUUACUUCGUAACACUCCUCCAUAUACAACAUACUCCAUGCGCACAAUAAUCUGAAAACCGUUUCAUAAGCAGAGAGAGAAGCUUAAUGUCUUCAAACAUUAUUAAGAUAGGGUAGGAGAGGAGAUGUGAUAGUAUAUAGACUGAUCAUCCAAUAAUUUCAGUAGAUGUUUGACUGAAACAUCCAAUAUUUUCAGCGAGUUGUCUGAAGAUGUGAAUACCAAGGUUCCAAAUGACUAGCGGCAAGAUCAGGUAUGUGCAGACGACCUCCGAGACUGAACCAAACUCAUCCAGGCAUGGAAUGCGGAAAAAAAAUAGACCAUAGCUCAUCUCGGCAUGAAUGAAGAAUCUCACAUUUUGAAGAGUCUUUUUGAUGCUCAGGGAUUCAUGUAAGCAAUUAUUUCUUAUCCCUAACACAAAUAAUUUGUCUCGGCUUUUGUUUCUGAAAAUGAUAUUUUUUUUCCAUUUUUCUCAGAGUGCAAUUAAUCACGAUGCCAUAAUGCAUGCUAAUGAUGACCAGAAGCUUGACGCCAAUCGGAAGUCAUGAUAGUUUUUUUUGGUUGCUAGUUCGACUGGUAAGAGCUGGUGCUGCCGAGACACCAUCCUCAGUGUUCUUGAAGUUUAAGUCAACACUCAAUAGGCAUUGGUUUAUUUAGUUCUUCUCAGCCAUCAGAAACUUCAAAUAGCAGGGCCAAAGUCUGCAAACUUUUAGGUAGGAUGCACUUAGAACAUCUCUUGCAUAUUCGCUACAAAGAAAAAGAUGAUCUAGGGACUAGCUUCUAAUCACACACCAAGUUUAUCAUAGAAAGGUCAUGCAUCAAGCUCUUCUACUAGGAACAUUAUCAUGCAACCUCAAGUCCUAAUUUACCAAUAUGCACCUUCAGGCUUCAGCCAGCUCAACAAGCAUUAACCAGGCAUUUUAAGAACUCCAUUAUGUCCAAGGAUAUGCUGCUAUUUAAGAAUCUGCUGAAGGAAAUAGCAAUGUUGCAAAGAUGCAAAAAUGAUGCAACAUGGAUGCUCAAACCUUACUACCAGUAAUUUUAGCUGUACUUGAGUGGAACAAUAUUUGGCUAGGUCUGGUGUGCUGCAUAAAUUAGUUUCAUUCAGAUAGGACAUGCAAAUUAGAGAUAGGGGGAAUGUUUCCAACAUCUUUUUGAAACCUUUUGGCAUUGCUGACUGAUUCUUUUUGUAAGAAAGGAACAAAUCUGAAACAAGAGCAUGUUAGGUGA